GGCUCAUCCAAGUGUGGUGGUAUUUACAACUAAUUGAUCACAACUAGUUACAGAUUUCUUUGUUCCUUUUCCACUCCCACUGCUUCACUUGACUAGCCGAAA
ensembl:misc_RNA Y_RNA Y RNA